AGUGCCAGUCAGGCUGCUGAGGGGACAGCGAGGUGAGGGGGGCUCUGCUGAGCGGUGAACAGAGUUGUGAGGGGCAGCUCCCUCAGAGGGGUGCAGGGGGAGAACAGGAGGAGGGCUGAGGAGCAUCUGCUGGGAGAAGGUUCUAGAACUGGCAGGAUGCGGCUGGGAGCUGCAGCAGGGGCAGGUGGCUCAUCAGAGCUUCAGGUCAGUCCCUGUACUGUCAGUAAGACUUGAAUCUUGACUGAAAGACUUGAAGAAUGACUGAAGAAGAUGGUGGUAGAGAGGAAGAGGCAGCCAUCUUCUCUUGCGCUCUGCUUAGUAGUUCUGAACUAUGCAACCAGGGAGAAGUAGGUCUCUGCUAUCAAGUAUCUAUUUUCUGAGUAUGAAUUCUGUGCCUGCAAUGUAAAAUCCUACACCAGUGUUUGCUGCUGCUUCUGUCCUUGAUGUCUCCCUCCUGCAGUGAGUAGGCACCUGGAUCUUUUCACAGUCUCCUCUAAAAUUUAACAAUAAUUUACCCUGACUGCAAUGGUAGGUGAGCCAGGCUGAUCCUGAAGACCACUGAAAAUAUUGUUGACAUGGAUCUAUACUCAACUUCAAAUUAUUCAGACUAUAAUUUGCUGCAUCUUGAGCAUCCUGGCUCUCUGAUUUCCCAGUCCUGCAUCCCAAAUGAAAGAGAGAGAGAAGGAGGAGGCUAUCGGUGAAUGCAUUUUUCCCCCCAGUGUGCUGUGGAAGAUGAUGGCUUACUGCUACUGCAAGAAAGCAUGGAGCUGACUUAAGAAAAACUGUAAUGUAUAAAUUAUGUAUUCAGAAAGGAGCACUUAUUUAAAGAGCACCUGAAGAAUUUUUCCAUCACAAAAGGCUGUCAGGUUAUGGCAGAACUGGAAAUGUACAGAAAUUAAAGUUCAUAACGGAACUCCAGAUCAGUUUGCAAAAUAGGGUAGUUGAUAAUGCAGCAGUUUUGAAAUGCAAAAGAACAGCAUGUCAUUUCCUUCCCAGUGUUGGUGGGUUUGCAAGAAGAGUUACAGUUGCUCAUUCUAAUGAGGUCAUCGGGCUGGAUCUGCUCGAAUUUCCUGUGCUAAACAGGACGAGACUGGACCUACCUUUAAUCUACUUGGAUCUUCAGACUUUUUGCUGUUGCCUAUAAAUGAAGUAAACCUGAAAGUAGUUCCUCUGUUAUUCAUGUUCCAGUCUGGGUGAUUUCAAGGUUCACAGGUGCCAAAACAGGCUGGGAUCUUAAAAGUAAGUCACACUGACAAAUGAAGUGUGCAAACACAGGUAUGUAAUGUCAUAGAUGUGGAAAUCAAUGCUGCAGUCUCAGUCAAAACUUGAGAAAUGUAAGUUACAUUGAAUGGUAUUUUUUCUUUGUAAAUUUUCUACACAUUCACCAAACAAACAAACAAACAACAACAAAAAAAAAACAUACAAUCCCUCUCCAAAAUGGAAACUAGAACAAUAUAAUGAAUGAAAAUUAUCUCUAAGUUCAGAUAAUUAGAUAGGAGGGAUAAUUGAGGCCAGAAAUACAGUUUCAUUUUUGGUAACCUAUUAGCUAAGUUUUUUUUUUUUUUUAACAGUAAUAUGUUGUAAUUAAGAUAAAAGAUUAUCCUUUUAUUUUACUCUCUCCCAAACAUUAAUACAAACAUAAUCUAUUAUAUUUUAACUGUAAGUUGUUCCGUGAAUUAAUUUUGGGUAGAAUAAUUUUUAUAGCUUUUGCUGCAAUCAAACUAGCAGACAUUUGUUUUCAAGUCACUAUGAAGAGUUUAGGAUCAGAUGGCUCUUGCUACAUAUUAAAGUGAUCUUCAUGGUUCUAGUGGACAAUUCUACAUUGAAAUCUACUUUUUAUGUAAUUACAUACUUGGUCAUUCCAACGCUAAAUGGAAAAACAUAUAAAGCUGUACCUUUAUAGUAGCUAGUGCUACUUCCAUUAUUGCACACUGCCUCAGCGUCAGGCUUUUGGCAUCAUCUCGAAUCACAUGGUCCUGCAAAAGGAGUUAAGAACGUAGCUUUUUAUGAAAGAGAGACAGCAUUGUGGCCUGUCUACUUUUCGAAAAGCAGAACUUUCAAAUACUCCCUAAACUCUUAUGUUUAACAGGGAUUAAUUCUACUUCAGGAUUAUUUUAGAACAAAUUACAACCUAAAGCAACUGUUGUUCCUUGAAAACAGAGACUGUAAGGAAAAAGAUCCAAUUCUUAAUACUCAGUACCUGCAUCACUUUCUUUAAUUACUAGAAUAUAUUUGUGUUCUGUGAAACAGGUGAGUACGUACAUUUUCAGACCAAAAAAUUCUAUUGGAUGUUACUGAAACAAUUCAUCGUAGUAAAGAACUUGAAAUGUUAACUAAUGUUGGUUAAUGCCCCAUGUUAUUUAUAAUAGCUAAAAAGGGUUCUUACUACAACACCAGUUAAAUAGAAUCAUAAACUAACUAUGUUCCUGUGAACUUUAUCUAAUAUAAGCAUCCUGUGACUACUUAAGCUUCAUUUUUACUCCAACAAACUCAGUCAUUAUUUAUAGAAGCACAAUUUUCUGCAUUUUAUGUCAAUUCUGAAGUGAAAUUGGAAAAUUGAUUAGUAAACAACUGACAGUAUCAAACAUCUCAGGCCUCUCCGAAAUAACUGUAUGGACUUCAGUGAUGUGGUGCCAAUGAGUUCGUUGCAGAGGUAUAAGUCAUUUUUCAAUACCUAUUUUCAGUAAUAUGCUGAACAAGUACUCCUAUCUUAAUUUUUUAUCAUCAUUUAUUCUUAAUCUAUUUGGAUGAGACUGAAAAAUCAUUACUCAUCUAUGAACAGCUACUGCUAUGUUCAAGUUUAUUACAGUAAAUAAGAGUAAGAAUUUUGGCCUCACAGUUACCAAUACCUCAUCUGGUUUCCUGUUAGAGCAAGCCAUUCACUGUUUCAGUUGGUUACAUUACCUUGAGUUUUGAGAGUUGUCCAAGAUCUUUGGCUGCACUGAAUAUCAUCUGGGGCCCCUGCAAUCACAUUGAAAAUUCAGAAACCAGAAUCAUUAGAGUGUAGUUGCUUUGUAUGUCCACGUAUCUUGUUUUCUGCUAGGACAUUAUCCAAAAUCACUGUUUUGCAAAGCUAAAUGAAAAGUUAAAUUACACUUGAGACACAUUUAUAAUUUUGAUAAGAAGUAGUUGAAUCCCUUCAGCAUGAUACUUGAUACAAAUCAAAUAUUGACUUUCCAAUAGCGGUUUCUUGUGCUCCUGUCUGCUAUCUAAUUUUGUCUAAUUUUUUUAAGCUAAGGCUAUGCAGUGUGUCAAUGUCAACAUGUCCAUAAGUAAGUGCUAUGCUAAUAUAGAUAAUCACAAUGGGAAGUGAACAGCCUGAAGAACCUGCAAAAGCUUACCUCAUUGUCCAGAGUGAAAUCCUUAGUUGUGUAACACAUAGGAUAGUGAUCUAGCAUUAUGCCAAAGCUAACUUUUUUAAAGGUACUGUACUGUUAUGAAUUUAAACCCAUAUUUUUACAAAGCCAAAUACUGGCAAGAUACCAAAGGACGGUGACUAACUCUUUGCGUGAAAUAAACAGCAUCCUACUAUAUAAUUUUAUGAUCACUGUUUUAUCACAAGUACUCCAAGAAACAUAAUUACUAGUGCAGUUACUUAGCAGCUCAGCAAGACAUAGCUCUGGAUGUCUGGAUUUCAGGAGAACAAAAUCAAUACAAAUUACAUAGUGUAACAUAAAGCAAUUUUUCAUUAGUAUUUUCUGUUCCUAAAGGUUUCUGUUUCCAGAUCUUGUUUCACUGUACAUAUGCAAUAUAGGACUACAAAUAUAGAGCUACAUCUCAAAUUUUCAUUAUUUAUUAGUAGGCAGAAGAGUAAGAUAAAUGAGAUAAUUAAAAAAUAAACUCCAGUUUCUGAAUGCCUCUCACCCUCAGAGAGAAAGUAAUACUCAAAGCUGCAGAAAAUGGGAAAUCUCUUCUACAGUAUCCUACCUUUCAUUGAUUUUAAUUGUGUUCUCAGUUGUAACUAGAAGUAGCAAAACAAAUGGAGCAGUCUCUGCUUCUUCUCUACCCCUCCUCUGUUCUGUGUUCCAGAUGUCCACCCACAGCUUAAUAAAGUAUCCGCUUGCUAAACAAGCUGUUCUGAAAUGGGAUGUAACUAUCAUCACCAGUUACUGCUUGGUGUGAUUCUGAACAUUAGUAAAGACAACACUGGUGCUCACAAAUUGUAGAAGAUAAACAGAAAUGUGUAUGCAGUUGGCAGUGAGAGGUUAUUUUUGCUGUAGUUAGUAGACAAGUAAUUAAUUUUUAAAUAGAGGUCAAUUUUCAAGCUGUUCAGGGGAAAUAUGUCCAAAAACGUUGUUUUAUAAUCCUAACUAACUGAUACAUCCCAUACCCCAAGUGGGCUUACUCAGCCUUAGAUUGGUAAUUCUGCAUUCUUGGUAACCAAUUAAAAAGAGCAGCAAAAAUGCUCAACUCUGAACCACACUGUUCUGUGAUUCAUGGUGUAACAACUGGUGUUGCAUAAAGCAAAUAAAUGAUAGCAAAACUCCUGCUUGAAAAUGUUACCACAUUAAGCACUUACACCAAAGUAAAUAAGUUUUACACCAAAAUUUUAGAAAAGCAAGUUCAAAAAUACCUAAAAUAUAAAAUUGACAUGGACAGUGAAGGACAGCCUGAUUCUGAUUGUGCGUAUGUAACAACUACUAACAGAUUCAGCAAAUGGAGGCCUGGCUGGGCUGGCAGAAUUAGCUUUACUCUAAAAUUACUAAAAGCUCAUAUUUCAUUUCUACCUUAGCACGAUCUUCCCAUAUUGUGUUAGGUUUCCCCCCUGCCCUUCAGCGAUUUGAUUUCAUACCGAAUUUAUUAGAACCUUUAUACACUUACAGUUUGGUCUGUCAGUGGUGGAAGCACAAUUUGUUUUUCUAUUCUGUUCAAGACUAUCUUCCACAACUCCUUUAAAACCCGUUUCAGAACUGUCUUCUCACAGAUUUUUGCAGAGAGGCUUAAACUGGAACAAAAGAAAACACAAAUGAGUCUCCAAAACCAGCAUUGAGACUUCAGAGGUGCUGUGUCACUGUAUCUUCAGAUCAGUGGCCAUUGUGGCUAAGCAUUUCUGUACCAAUAAUAGUUAUUUCACACUUUUAUAAAUAAAUAUUUUUGAUUAGUAGAAGGUUUUCAGAUUAGAAAACCAUAUAAAUCCUGACUAACCCUCUAGUAGCACAUAACCCUUGAGUAAAUUAACCUGUAGGGCUGGGUAGACUGCCAGAAGUAAAACACACAAAUUUAGCAGCUACAAUUUUUCUUUUUUUUGCCAGGUUGGGAAACUGUGUGCUGUACUCAACAGUAUUACAAUAGUCAACUCUUAUCAUAAACACUUUAAAUAAGUGCAGCUCUUAGUAGUAACGCAGAGAAGUAUUUUGGAAUUCCAGUGUCUGCCUUCAGCAUAGAGCCUUACAAAUAACAGAAACACUGUUGCUUUUUUGCCUUUUUAACUAACUUACAGUGCCAAAAACAAACACUCCUUCCCACUCCCAGGGCAGAGAAUGUGCAGAGCUGGCCAGAGCAAAAAACAUUCACAGAUGAGAGAGAGUGCAGAGCCUGGGAUGAAACAGACCUCAGAGGCUACCAGGAAUACUGAACCUAUUCUGCUGCCUCAGUCUCUCCAGACGAGGACUUAGCAGGACAGUCUUAACAAGCAUUCCACAAACGAGGGAUUUCUAUCUCAUAUAAUGGCUCCUGGAAGCCACUGGCUUCCCUGAGCCUGUUCUCUGCUCAGCACCUUCCUCAAAUCUUCUCAGCACAGCUCCAACUUUAACACCAGUGCUAUUCAACCAAUUCCUCCUAGUUAUGCUUCUUGUUCUACUUUACUUUAAGCAAGAAAGAUACUCCCUCAUCAGCAUCCUCAGCACUCCUUUUUCUACCUUCACGUUGAAAAUGUCUGCCUUGGAGAAAUAUACAUGAAGAGCCAAAGUGUUAAAAUGGUAACUAACUCACUCAUUUGGUUAAAGGUUAACACAUACAUAUGCAACUCAGGAUCUGAUGCUCAGGAUCAGUAUCAUGCUGCUUAGUCUCAAGGCCACUGCUGUUUCACAAAUGCCAAUAAUGACAUAGAAUUUUAGGGGUUGGAAGGGACCUCUGAAGAUCCACCAGUCCAACCCCCCUGCUAAAGCAGGUUCCCUAGAGCAGGUUACACAGAAAAGCAUCCAGGUGAGUUUUAAAUGUCUCCAGAGAAGGAGACUCCACCACCUCUCCAAGCAGCCAGUUCCAUUGCUCUGUAAACCUCCCAGUAAAGUUUUUCCUCAUGUUCAUAUGGAACUUCCUGUGCUCCAAUUUGUGUCUGUUAUGGCCAAGGACAGCAAGGUGCUUACAGACAGCACAGGCACAUGCCUUUCUGAACAGCUGAUGCCGUUACUACUGGACAAUGAGGAGAGGAGACAUGCUUACUCUCAGGGCCAAUUUGAGUUUGUGUCAUUAUUUACUCAGUGGAAAAAAAGUAUAAAAAUUAAGCUCUUCUGUAAAUCAGUGGGAAUCUUUAAAUGGUGGCUAAGUUUUUAACAUUGUGGAAGUGCUUAUAAAUAAGCAGGGGACACUGUGUGCCAGCCUAGUCCAUAUGCCAAGAAAUUUCAAGAUAUGCAAUAGAGCGUUCAGCACAAUUUUCUUUUUACAAGUGCUUAUGGAGCGCAGAACAGACACAGCUCUGUUACAGUACCUCAGAACACGACAAGAAAUAGAAAGGCAGAUAUACUGCUUAUGGGAAAGUUUCUUAGUGUAAGUAAACGUGAUAAGUGUAGUAUCCUGUACACAUGAGAACACUACAAAUAUUAAAAAUACUGCAAACAGUCUCUAGGUAUUAUCCGUGCUUCAGGGUAAGGCUAAGCAUACAUCUUUAACUCUAGCGCCACAUUUCUAACAUGCCACACACAGUAAUGUGUCACACUUACGUUUUGUCCAGGAAAUCCAUGAGAGGCCGAAGUACAAUCUCUGCAUCAAUGGCUGCGCUGUUCUUGUUGGCUGCUGCGGUCCCAUUUCCUCUCAUUUGAUUGAGUUCAGAGCUCAUUUGUCUUACACAAUCUUCUAUUAUAGACUGGAAACUAUAGGAUAAAGGAAAAAAAAAAAGAGAGAAUUAAAGAAUUCUGGGAGAGAACACAAGACAGUAACCUACUCUAGGGAACCCGAGUUUAGCAAGGAGGUUGGACUGGAUGAUCUCCAAAAAUUCCUUCCAACUCCUACGGUUCUGUGAUUUACGAUUUUGCAUCAGGUUCUUCAUCAAGACUCCUUUUUCUGCAAUGAAAAUGAAUCUUUUCCCAAACAAAACAUACUUCAGGGUGCUACAGACUGAAAACAUCACCUCCUAUGCAUUGUGUAAUCAGUGCAACUAUUGUUUUAUUUUUCUUCUUUCAGUUUUGUCAUUAUGCUUUUCAUGCCCUUGUGGUGAUAUUAAGUAGUUAUUUUCUAGAAGCGACAGAUGUAUUAGACUCUGCAAUUUAGGAUAUGGUAGACUACAACCUGAAAACAACUCCAGAUUUUUUUGUGUGUGUGUGAAAGCAGAGCAGGAAAGGGGACCAGAAAUCAUUUUUUAAAUUUUGUGGCUAAUAUGAAAGAAGCUUUGAUAUUUUUCUUGAGGACAAACAGAAAACAACUCUUCAUUUUGCCCUACUUGGCUCACUUUGACGUUUUCCUGUGUUUCCCACAGUCAAUACUAUCAGCAGCUUUACUUCUUUGCAGUGAGUUGGUGCAGCUAAAACAUUUGAACUGCUUAAAAUAAUCUUUUACCAAAAACCCUAACAUUUAGAAGUUGAUACAGACACCUUUUCUACUUCAAGGUAUGUGUGAACAAGUUGUUGCUCCUCAAGUUGGGUCACUUCAGCUGAUGUGCAAAUCAUUCAGUUUUCUAAUCAAUAUGGUAGACAAAUCUGGGUUACAUUCUGGUGUCACUGAUGUGAUGCAGGCUUCAGUCAAUAUAUUUAAACAGUGCAGAACAACAGUUAUUCAGAAUCAGCAGUUCAGAUGCAGAAUAAGGCCUCUGCACACACAGUACUUUGUUUUAGAAUGUUUGUGAACAGAACUGCAAAACAGAGGCCAUAAUUAUACCGAACCUUUAAAUGUGAAAAGAUAAAUGGCAAAGAUUAACUGUAAAGCUGCUAUUGAAGCUGCUCAUGUAAGUACUUGGGACCAGUCCCUCCAAUAAAAACAGACUUUGCUUAACAAGUACCAUUGCAGCACUAAUCCCUCUUUCUUAGAUUCCUUUCUAAUUUGAAACAAAAAUAACUAGCAGUUUCUCAUAGCAGAGACACACUACUGACUCAGGACUACACCCAUUCAAGAGUUCACUGCACACUGAUUAAUCAAAGAUUCUGAGAAUAAGGCUCUGUCUGCAGACAGUUCUUGCAGAGCCACAGGUCUGCCCAAUUACAAUGACCAUUUGAAGCAGGCUCAACACAGGCAGAUACCUCUGGUUUCCACAGAACAUGUAGAAAAAGAUUUCAGUUUCGGGGGUAACAUAAACAUGGCCAGAGAGAAAAGUUUAAUGUAGCAUCAGGCAAGAACAAACCAGCAAUUUUUGUUUUCUAAAAAGCAGAACAAAAUUUCAGAGCCUCACCUCAGUAACACAUUUGUGCCCACAGACCAUUUUCAGCUUUCCUUGUAGAGAGGUUACUGCUGUAUGUGUCAGUGUCUGACACACAUAUACACACUCACAGAUGGACACUACUUCAUCAGGGCAGGAAUAAACUGUAUCUCAGGACGUAUAAACAGCCACCAAGACAGGCAACGAGGCAGGCUUAUGAACAGAAAUAUAUCUCUAAGAUUUGAAGUAAAGUAAGUGAUUACCUUGUGGCAUACGUUACACUGAGUUCAUCUAAUACGUUGCUAAGUUUUGCUUGAAGUUCUUUUAGAACAGUACUAGCUUCUUGAUCCAACUGCAAAGAGAUAAGUCAUGUUAUAUUUUUCUUAUAAAAUAUAUCUUGGGUUUUCUGUUAAAUUAGCACACUUGGAAUUAUAUGCAAUGAUAUACUGCACUAUGGAAAACCAAAUAUGGAAACACCUGCUACAACACAGGAGUAUUUAAUAAACCUAAAAAUCCAAUUGCCAAUUAAAGUAAAAUAUUUGAUAGUAGCAGUGAAAGGAUUACAAUAUUGGAAAUCAAAACAGUGCCACUGAGCAAUGACCUUCUGUGAGAUGGUGCAAACUGUGGCAGAAUAGAAUUACCACAUCAGGCCAAUGGUAUUUAUAAAGCACAUCUAAAGAAAGAUGCAUGGAGAAUUAGUGCUUGUGUUAAUGUUACUGUUUUUUCUUUUUUAAUUUGGGUGUAUAUUUUACCUAUGGCAUUACUAUUAAUUAAUCUUGUGAUUCCCUUGGAAGAUGUUUCCAUUUUCCCAUUAAUGCAGCAUGAAAAUAGAACAGCUUGGACUGGAAAAGAUGGCUUCAAGACUAUCCAUGCUGCUUCUAUUGAUACAGCACGAAGGAAAGGGAUCCACUGUAUUUCAGUGUUUCUAUAUCUAAAAGCCAUUAAGACAUAAAUAAUUCAAGCUCAGCGCAACACAUUCUGAUGUACAGGGAGAGCAGCUCCUGUAUCUUUGAUACAGGUUUUCUAAACAUAGGAAAAGAGAAAAUGCAGGGAAGAAAUGUAAUUUUACAUUUACAGGGGUGAGGAUCCAUGCAUGUAUAUUUAAUCAAAAAGGUACUCUUUUGAUAUUGAUCAGCAGCUUGGUUUUUUUGCUAUGCAUUCUUUUCCAAAUUACACUAAAUGACCUCUUUUUUUCCUCCUUAAGUAUUUAAGAAAAUAGUUACAGUCCAUUGUAAGAUAUGAUUGAUGAUCAUCAGGAUCAACAAUUAAUUAAGACAAUCAAGAAUAAAUUAAUAGCUGAUGUUCCUCAUCUUUGAGCUACCUAUAUAACAGUAUUAGAGGGAGGGUAAUUUUCAGAUACAAUCCUCAAAUUCUAGGCUCACCUCUGCAAUAAUGUCAGAUAGAGAUUUUCAGACAAAUUCAAAGAAAAUGUUGUGUUUGGAAUACAUAAACAUGUCUGUGUUUGCAACCUCAUAUCUUUCAACUGCAUGAGUGUUUAGUGCUUGCUCUUCAUCUGAUGCUUCAGAGUGCUGUGGUUUAAUAGGCCAGCAUUUCUAAUCGUACUUCAGCCACGGGGGAAGCUGUGCAACAGCACAUUGGAUGGCUUACAUAAGACUACACAGGAAUUGUAAGGCAAAAUAAAGAAAGCACACACAAACCCUGAAACACCCCUAAAGAUCUACUGCAUUCUAGUCUCAGGGUAUUCCUUAAAGCUUACUUGUGGUUUCAAAGCUUAGAAAAUCUAACUUUUCCAUUACAGUCCGACAAAUAUCUGAAAUAGAUGAACAGUGCAAUUAGUAUGCAUCCUUUAGAAAAUAUCCAGUGAUGUGUAGUACUUAUCUAAUCUGAGAAGCUGCUAUUUUAACACUUUGAAUUUUGUGAUUUAGUUUUUAUUUAUUUUGCAUUAUGAGAUGUUUUGUUGCUUCUCCACUUCGUGUCUUAGUAAUUUCCCUCUAGAUAAACUCUGGCAGUUCAGACGCUUAAAGUGAUUGCUUUCCAUCAUAUGAAAAGCAGAGAUUAAAAAACUAAUUUUACCUAACUGUCUACAUUAGUUAGCAAAGUUCGAGUUGGCUAGCAAAGGCACCAGUCUUUCCUGGAAGUGCAGUUCACUAGGGAACUGUGCCACCCCCUUUGGUAGGAUGUGUGUGGAACACAAACUGAAGAACUCCACUAGAAUGUUAACAAAUUCAACGAACAACAGAACACAAAAGCACUCACACUGAACAUGGUACACUUCAGAGAUAAAGAAUGCUGUGCAGGCACAAGUCUCAGAAUUUCUUAUCAUGUUAUGCACAAGCUAGAGAAUCUUCUUAUUAGGACUACAAAUGUAGGUACAUCCUAUUGGGGGGUGUUGUGAAGCCCCAGAAGUACAUUUGCAAAAUUCACCCAGAAUUGGACUUAUUCAACCUCAGAGAGAUCAGUUACUGAUAUCAGAUUGUGAACAAAACACAUAAUAGAAAGUGCAUGCAUGCGUUUGAAGUGAGCAUUGUGCUCAAAAACUGCACAAACAAGUUUGUGAGCACAGCUAGAGGCAGUUGGCGGGACAGCCAGCCUUGGGUGUGCACAUGCUCAUGCUUAUUAGUGCAGCAUCGUAGGGAGGAGUGGAAUAUAAAGAGGUAUGCAGGCUGACUGUCUAGGUGAUGAAUACCUGGUGGUGAUGACUGAGAAUAUUUUAGCAAUAAUUCUAAGUGCUGUUAUUAAUUUUGUUUAACUACAGGACAAUAUGAUAACUCGAGUGCUUCACUGAAAGUAAAAUGUGCACUUUUCCUUUACUUUACCAGCUGUCCUAUGUGUGCCAGUGAGUUCCUACGGCAAAUCAGAGAGUCCUUGACUAGCAUCAUCCAAAUACACCUCAGCAAUUUCUCUGAUGUGACAGAGCUGACAUGGGACCUAUUAUGAUAAUUCUAUACUGUGAAAGUCCCUGGCGAGUACACUACUGGCAAAGAUGGUUUUGGAAUGGCCUUAUACAGUGGAAAUAAGAUGCAGUAGCUUUUGGUGCUACUGCACAUCACACACUAAUUAUUAUGGGUUGUCAUCCACAUGCAGAAAGUGGUACUGUUUCCCUCUUAAAUAAUCUAUAAAUCUGCAGUUCACGGCCUAUCCGCACUUAAAAAAAUGACACAGUGCUGACAGCAGAAAAUCACAAACAUCUCAAGGAGGACAUUUCUGGUGUGUGCUUUUGAAGGACAUAGGGAUUUUAGCAAUGAUGCAAGCAGCUCCUGCAUUUUCUUCUUGUUUUUAACCAGACUUGCUUGUUCUCAGGAAAGUAUUGUAUGGGAAAUGCACAGAGAUGUGCAAAUGAUUUAGCUUAAUGAAGCAGACAUGCUGCAAAACUUAUGCAGGCUGACGUCACAAGACUCGCUACAUGAGAUAGAAUCGCAUAGCUAUUACUAUGUAAAACUGCUAUGAGGCAAAGUCAUUUAUCCAAGACUUUCCAGUAAACAAGAGAAGUUCUGAGCUUUGUGGCCUACUAUUGCUAUCUAACUAGAAGGUAAAGAUGAAAACUACCAUCUAUUUCACUUGCUGAUCUGCUGCGAGAUUACUCCACAUCUGACAGUGCAGAGUUAUUAUGGGAAGGGAAGUCUGUGAGAAAUUGAAUUCCUCAUACUAGUUUUUAUUAGUAGCAAUCCAAGAGAACAGAGACAAACAUAUUCAGCUGCAGAAAUCUCAACCACAGUCAGAUGAUGAAUGUUAGGUCUAAUCUAGCCCUAACAUUACCCUACUUUGCAAUCAACUAGAAUGAAAAAAUGAAAGGGAGGCAAAAUACUACGCUGAUCACUGUCUGAGAUUAUGUUAUAUGGGGAUGGAGAUGAAGUAUCUGCCGUAUUUGGGACUUUUAUUCUUCAAGCCUUACGUGCUCCUGUGGUGUCUGAUAAAUAAUAAUAAAACCAAUCAAAUAACAACAACAAACAACCUGAGUAUUUUUUUCAGGAAAAGAAAAACUAACUGAACAGAUAAUUGCCGAGGGAAAAAGGUUUGUAAAUAAUAAAAAGGUUUGUAAAUAAUAUGCCAUAACUAAUUUAAGAACUGAAAGAGAAGAAAGCCCAUUUAUCUUAGUUUCUUGGGUUGCAUUUACAAUUCAUGGCAUGACUGUGCAGUCUAAUCUUAAAAUAUGAGGCUGCUCCAGCAAUAACAUCUCCUAUUUAUUUCCAUGAAAACUAAAGCAGAUACAAAGAGCACGAUAGCACUAUUUGAUACAACAAGUUCUUGGUGCCGAAAUACUAUUUUUUAACAGUCACCACCAUUAGAUACGCAUGUUUGCGAGCAGUGAGCAAGGGCCAGCACAUUGCUCUCAUAAAAAUCAUUAAAACUGUGAUUAUUUUUUCUUAUUAUUGUUUACAAAUACCAAAAAUGAGUUAAAGUUCUGAUGGAUUUGACUGCUUGUGAUAUAAGGCGUUAGAUGGAGGUAUUCUACACCGUAAUUUAAUGCACAGCAAAUCUUGUUAACUGCAAAUUUUGUACUGUUUCCAAAGGAAAUUACAGAUGUGCAAGUUACUUUUACAUGUGCUAAAUCGGAACCUCUCUAAUUAGAAUUCCAUUUGACUGCAUUUAUCUAUAAUUUCACAGGUUGAAUAGCUUGUGUAUGCUUUCCUAAUGAGACUAACUAGUUACUUCAGAAAAAAAAAAAAUACAUAAAAUAGUUACAAUCAGGGAAGUGACAGGUAUUUAUCAGAUCUGGCACUUCAGUGGUUCUUUCUGUCUAUAACAGGCGUCAGCCUCAUCCUUUCUCUAUCAUGACCACCCAGCUGACUGUCCCAGGUACAGUGAAUCUAAUUUGGACAAUUCAGAACUAUUCUGCCUGAAUCCUUUGUGGGUCUGGACCACUGUCAUCAAAUCAAAGACUUUGAUGUAAUACUGUUGCACAUAACUUGCUUUCCUUUCAAGUUUUUGUUGUUGAUGUUUUUUGGUGCUUUUUAAAUUAAAAAAAAAUUGCUAUAACUCAUGUCUCUAUACUCUGCUAUAGUUAGUACAUUCAUUUUAUUCCUUAUCUAAAUACUACUUUUUAACAUGACAGGUUUCAAUGUCUCAAAAAGGUGUCAAUUUCUUCAUAAGCUUUCAAAACAAGUAGUUAAAAACAACACAUUUGUGACUACCAACUGCAUGCACGUGUACCUAUCUGUGGAAGGUGAAUUCCAAAAUUAGACUGAGAUCUUCAUAAUUUCAAAAUGUUUUCUGACACAUUAGUCGAGUAAACGUGAUUUUAUAGAAAUAAAUACAUAUGGCACUUUUGGAAGUGUUUACACAGCAGACUAUCCGUGGGCCAGGGAAGCAAUUGUUACCUUGGUUUUUGUGCUAUUCAACUAAAAUGAAUGAAACCAACAGCUAGGCUUUCAAUUCAAUUCUGUCAUGAAUUUGAAAAAGAAUAUGUUAGUGUUUAUUCUGAUUAGCCAAAAAUAAUUCUUAACAGGUGUAGAACUGUAAUUUUUACUCAUCCAUAUGAUUGUUUGACACAAGAGCUAAAGGCUAAGAUUAGUAAAAUAUUGAAACACAUUUAUGUCGCUUUACUACCGAGUGGACUUGAGACACUUCUAAAGUCAUCUUAAAUAUAAAAGGAGAUAAAGCUAAGCAUAUUCUGGACUGUUGAAUAGCUGCUCUUGUUAAAAUAAGUGUCUAAUCCUGGAUACAAGUAAGCCCUCAGAGAUAGUCAGAAGAGCACUUAAAAGAAUGUUUUGUAGCUUUUAAUACAUUCUGAAAGACUUCACGCUAUCUGCCUAGUAAAACAUUUCAAUGUAGAGAGUCGACUGAGUGCCCAAGCAUAGCUCUUUUUGAUUUUUGUUGAUAGGGAAUUACACAAAUGCAUCAAUGAAGAUUAGUAGGAAAUGUGACUGUUCUUAGUUUUAGAAAAUAUGGUCAGGAAUAAUAAAAGAUGCUUACUAUCACAAACCUCAUAAGAGAAUCUCUCUCCUUCUUUCUUCUGCUCAGUGGAUUGCAAGUUAAAGGCAUUAGACAAAGACAUGACACAUUACAGACAAAGCACAAGGCACAUAUUCUGCACAAUAUUCAGAUAUGGGCAAAACAUACUGAUACAUAAAAAGGCAAAUUAUGAUCCAAUACAAACAUUAAAGUAAAGCUGGCACUACACACUACAACACAAAACACCCACUGCUGGUAGACCUUUACAGAUCAUUAGCAUGUUUCUGAGAAAUAGUGCUAAGUCUUUCUGGCAUUCUCAGAGCAUUAAACAGUUAUUGCAUGUACUACUUGCUAAAUUUUGAUUUUCUUGGCAAGCAGAAGCAAAGGCUGUUGCUGGAUUGAAAACGUGGUGCUAAUGAUCUCUAAGGAACAUUGAAAGAAAGAGGAAAAGUUACCACUCACCUCCUUCCCUCCCAUGGACUCAAACAUUUUUUCAAGCUGCACUCGUAACUGUUGAAUGUUGUUCAUCAAGAUACAGGGCUACAAAGAAAAAAAAAAAAGAUAACAUAUGAGAAAUAGGCAUGCUGUAUUCAGGCAGCUGUGCUUUUAGAGGAUGAUCUGUGUUUCUUGACAUGUGCAGCUUCCUCUUCCUGCUUUAUUUCACACUUGCCCAGUUAGUACAUCCACUCUGACAGGGACUGCCCAUUAUGCCUUUAAGAAAAUGUUGCCCCACAGGAGACUGGGUCCCUUCUCCCAAGGAGUUGGGCAGUUUUCAGAUCCCAGUGUUUCAUCAAUUGCAUUCAAUUAAGUACAAUUAAUCAAGAAGUGCACUGUUAUCUAUUUGAGAACAGAUGCAGUAAUGGCCAAAGUACUCUGGGAGUGAAAAUAGAUGAGAGUAGAGGGAGUACCAGAUUACUUUCUAGAUGCAGUCUUUGCAAAGAGCUGUGACAGCACUGGAACUCAGAAAAUGUCUGAUGCACAAGUAUAUGAAUAAAUCAACAGGCAAUACUUUCAACUACAGAAUAUUAUUCCAGACCUGUAAUAUUUUUCUUGGUCCAAAAUUCUGUGAAUGGGCAAUACAAUUUUGUAAACACUUUAGUCUAAAAAUAUUGCUGCUUAAGCUAAUUAAGGCAUAACAAAAUCACAGUGUAAAGGACAGCAAUUGCUUGAUUAAUAUAAGGUAAACAGUAAAGCGUAGAUGAGAUUAAGCAUCUUAUUACAAAAACAUGGAAGAAAUAACCUCUUGAUAGAUUUUUAGUUUGUUCAGAUGACAUUAUAGGCAAGUUUAGAAUUGUGUGGGAGGAGCAACAAGACAGCACUUGUGAAAGUAAUUCUGCUUGGCCAAGGACAGUGUGUUCUAGUGCUUAAUUGGGAUAAUCGAGACAUUGAAGUAAUAUAUUUUAAUGAAAUAGAUACACACUUUUCCAAACAAGAAGGUAAUAUAACAAUUUGAGCAACUGAUAAUCAACCGUACCUUUCUGGCUAUUAGCAUGUUUCAGUGUAAUGCUGAAACGUGGUGGGACUAUAUUUUGUAUUGAAAAAGUCAGGAACAAAAUUUAGCUUUAGCUACUGCAAUUAUGCUCAGAGGAACUCAGGGUCGUAAGCCCUUCUCAAUUGAAGUAAAAAGAGAAAUCUGAUCUAACUUCUUAAUCUUACAUUACUGCUUCUUACUCAAACAUGCUAUUUGCCCUCCACCGAAAAACAGUUGGUGGUGGGUAAUGGUUGAAAUAUUGCCUCUUUCCAGUCUCUUCAGAAAUCCACAAACCCCACUUCUAGUUACUUAUCUACCUUCUGUUCAUUUCAGAUGACUAAAAUUGUGUCUGCCUCUCCUUAGCCAUAUCUUCCUUUCUACCAUAUUCAUUAUUCUAGAGACUAUCUGCAAUAUAAAUCAGUGAUUAUGAUUUCUGAUGAGACAAAAAACAGUUGAACAAAAUGUCAGGGUUCUCUUGUUUAAAGCAAAUGGAAAUGCCUUUGCCAAUAUAGAGAAGCUAUGAGAUAAAUACUUCAUUAAUGAGGCAUUUUAAACAUUUUCUUUUGGGCUGGCUAAGGUGGCUCUCUCAGUGCCUACACCUACCUUAGCCCAAUGCAAAAUAUCUAUUGCUAUUAGUAAAUAACAGAACUGGAGCUUAAAAACUGUUUUUUUACUUCAAUAUGUUAUGUCCUUCAGAACACCCUUUGCAGCGAAUUAGAGGAAUCAGGCAGACAGAUGAAACAAUGUGCCAAAGAGAAUAGUGACUACCAUGCAUAAAAAUCAGGUUUGUUUGUAAACUCUGACAAGAGCUGGAAGAUGAGGGGAUGUUUUUACAUUAUAUGCUUCUUUAUGAAAAACACCUCUGGUAUGUUUUCAUCUGAACAGUUGACACAUACAUGUUAUAGUGCAUAGUGAAAAUACUGAUUUGAAAUAGAGUUCCAAAAAUGCAAUUAUAAUUAUGACGAGUAUAAGUUUAAAUCUCUUCUGUCAAACCAAAUGCAGAAGAUGGGCUUUUAAUAUAACUGAACUCACUGGAUCAAAUGAUCCUUUAUUAAGCUAGAAGCACAUGUUUCAAAAUAACAGAUUCUACUAAAAGUAAGUUAUCCCCCCUAAAGGCAUUUUUAUAAUCCUUUAUGAUAUAUAUAUAUUUUAAUAUUACAAUAAUGUAAUUAUAUUUUUUUCCAUCUAAAUCCAUAGAAAAGUUUGGCAUCCUACGUUGGUUUCAGAAAUCAACUACUAUUAAAAAAAUCCUAUUGUACAGGCCAAAAGUCUACACAGUGUGACUCAGUAGCAGAACACUAUGCAUUACAGCUCAAUUCUUACAGAAAAUGGUAAAGUUAAUUUUAGUAUUAAAAUGGAAGAAGUAGAAAAUACAGCUACAAGUUUUAGUUCAUUUUACAUUAGAGAACAGUUAUGGCUCAUACUGGUUCAUUAGCCCCUUGUAGGCUAUGAUGCAACAGAACAGCACAUGACUUUCUCACUGCUGCAUGGAGAUUGGCAGUAGCAGAAAAGUCAGCACAUAUUCUUUGUAUAGGAAACUCUUCCAGAAAUAUUACUGGUAAAGAGAGGUGAGCCAAUGCAGAAUGAAAACUAAGGUUUUUUGUUUGUUUGUUUGUUUGUUUUGUUUUGUUUUUUUUUUGCUGGAAAAUUGGAAAUAAAAUAUGGGAUGGCAAUAUCGAUUACUUUCAUAUUUGGAGUAUACCACUGUAUAAGACAUCUAGGUAGAAACAAAACACAGCUUUGUACUCACCACAUUUUCUUUGUCACAGUAUGAACUGAAGUAACUUGAAAUAAUUGCAGCAUACUGAAGCAGCACUUUGUUGAUAGUCUAGGAGAAGAGAAGAAACUUUAAUAAAUUUCAUCAUGUAAAACAAACAAAAAAAGAACAAAGUUUUUUUAAUGAGCUAUAGGUUUUACAGGUGCUUACACGUUUUGUGUAUUUUAUUUUACUUUAGAUAUCAUAUAAACUAUCCUGUAAACAAACUUUCAAAUCCUUGCCGGAAAGUCUCUAUGUUAUCCUUAAUGGAACGCAGUUUUCAAUAGCAGAGGGAUUGCUUCUGAACGACACUGAAAUUAGCAUUUAAAUACAAUGGCAACACAAUAUCACUCUCUGAAGUUUAGUUGAGAUGCAUUGAUUUUAAUCUACCUUUGCAAACCUUCUCAUUAAAUGAGACAGUGCUUCUGGAUUAGGACACUCCAGUUUCCUGAUAAUCUCAAAGCUUUGAUUGAGCUGUGUGAAGACGUCAACCACUGAACAUGAAAAAAGGGCAUGGUCUGAUGUUUGCUGAAACUAGAGAAAGAAAACAUUCAAAUAGUUAAUACUUGUCCAAACUGUAUAAACUGAUUUUCCUACUUGAAACGUUCUUUCUAGAGACAGGAAAAGUAUUAAAUAAAAUCUUACUGCUAAUACAGAGACUUUUCACCUUUAUAGGACUUUCAGUCCCUUUAGAAAUAAAAGAAAAAUUCUCUUUCAUGACAUCAGUAUCACAUCAGAGUUUAACAAAACUCUGAUGGAAGUCAGUGGGGAGCUUAGACAGAUAAAAUUAGAGCAGGAAUUUGUGCACAGGGUUGUCUUUUCAUACAGUUUUUUACGGUGCAUCUUGGGAGGUCUUAAUGAAGAUACUGCAGGAUCAAGUGUACCUCUUGUUUUGCAACACUAAUUAACUGCCUUGCCUUAGUACAUUCUUUUUCUUUUAAAAAAUAUGGACUCACUCCAUCUUUUUUGUCUCUUUCCAGUGCUCCGUGAAGAAACUCCAUUGAGACAUCCUCAUUUUCAUCCAGCCACUGAAUGACAAAUGGUUCAAACCAUCUGAAAAUUAAAAACAGUCUUCUAAAGUAACUACAUUCCUUAAAGAUUUGUCACUGCGUCUUCAUGUCUGUUAUAGUUGCCAUAAGAUACUGUGGCUAACAAAACACAUUUCAGCUUAACUGUGCUAUUCAAUCUGGCCUUCCCCAGUGAUGUAGAAUUUGUAGUGGCCAUCAAAGGAAUGCAGUUAUGUUUUGCAGACGAUCAUAUUCAUAUUUAUUUUAUAACGUGUCUUUUCCAGUAUUGGUUCCUUUUCAAUAUUUAAUUGCAUGUGAAAGAAUGUGGAGAAAGCUUCUCUUUAAUAAAAUGUCAGAUGUUUAAUCUUU